CGGCGGAAGAAUCACAUUCAGAUCACUUUGCACAUGCAGUUUCAAUUUGAGGAGCUGUGUGUGUGUGGGUUUGUGUGUCUGAUGUCCCAUGGGAAUAUCAGGGAUUUUUCUUCCCAGAUACCCCCACCCCACAAACAGCCCAAGGACACAGAGUAUUACCUUCCACUUUCGUUUCCUGGGAGAAUCUACUGAUGCUGGGAAACUUAAGGUUCUUCUCUAGGUCAUCAGUGUGAGGUGAAAUACGACUCCUCUCCUCUACUCCAACAACCUUCACAGGACGAAGAGAGGGAUGUGUGUUAGGUGACUGAGCGAGGGACGGACUCUCCUUUGAUGAUCGUUACAGAACUACCCACCACAACUGGAUCAAGCAGCGUGCUCGGGAGGAGAUGGACACCUGGUCUCAUCAGGAGUGGAUUGGGAGGAAAGACUAGACAUGGGGCCAGGUGAUCGAAAGAUAUCGGAGCCUACCCGGGAAGAACGAGAGGCAGCCCCAAAAAUUUUUUUUGGGGGGGGCACAUGGGUAGUUCGGCUGGACCAGGGGUGAGGCCUGAGUCAACUACCCAUGCUUUUCAGGUGCCUGCCUCUCGCACUUUCUCUCCAGUACGUCCUGUUCCUGCUCACCGCACUAGCCUGAAGGUGUGUGUUACUAGUCUGGCGUCUCCAAAGCCAGUCCCACGCAUCAGGCCUAAAGUGCGCAUUCCCCGUCCAGAGCUUCCGGCGACAGUUCCCCGUCCUGAGCUUCCGGCGACAGUUCCCCGUCCUGAGCUUCCGGCGACAGUUCCCCGUCCUGAGCUUCCGGCGACAGUUCCCCGUCCUGAGCUUCCGGCGACAGUUUACAGUCCGGAGCCGACAGAGACGGCCGACAGUCCGGAGCCGACAGAGACGCUCCUCAGCCCGGAGCCUCCAGUGGGUCUCUCCAGCCUGGUCUGUCCUGUGCCUCCUCCCAGGACCAGGCCUCCUGUGGGUCUCCCCAGCCUGGUGAGUCCUGUUCCUGCGCCCAGAGCCAGGCCUCCUUCAUGUCUCCUCAGCCUGGUGAAUCCUGGGCCAGAGCUGCCAGAGCCGCCCGCCUGUCCGGAGCUGCCAGAGCCGCCCGCCUGUCCGGAGCUGCCAGAGCCGCCCGCCUGUCCGGAGUUGCCAGGGUCGGUCGCCAGCCGGGCACAGCCAGGGUCUCCCACCAGUCCUCCGGCGCAGCCAGGGGCGCCACCUAAGUGGGUGAAACCGAGGGUAGAGCAGAGGCCACGUCCCGCACCUGAGCCACCGCCAUGAUCGUUACAACUAUGUACAGACUCAGUGAUCAUAGCCUUGCUAUUGAGAAAGGCCGCCGUAGGCAGACCUGGCUCUCAAGAGAAGACAGGCUAUGUGCACACUGCCCACAAAUGAGGUGGAAACUGAACUGCACUUCCUAACCUCCUGCCAAAUGUGGGAGAGCAGAGAACCGCACGGGAACUGACCUUUAUGUAAUCAGAGUCAUAGAACAGGCCUAUAGAAGAGGUGAAGACAGGUCAGCGUCAACAAGGAUACAAUGAGGUGACAUAGCAAAUUGAAACAGUUCGUUCCAGUCAUUGGCAGCAGAGAACUGGAAGGAGAGACGGCUAAAGGAGGAAUUGGCUUUGGGGGUGACCAGAGAGAUAUACCUGCUGGAGCGCGUGCUACAGGGUUGUGCUAAUGACACCAGUUUGUGUCUGUGAAUCUGCCCGGGAGUCACGCGGGGAACGGAGAGUCUCUGGAGUCUAAACUAAACUGAUAGACCGGAGGAGGAGGUGUCCCACUGUCUGAGUGAGUCUCUCGCUCUGAGAGAGAGAGAGAGAGAGAGAGAGAGAGAGAGAGAGAGAGAGAUCUGCGAUAGCGUUUAAGCACCAUGGACAGCAACCGGGAGCCAUUCUCGUUAACAACCAACCAGCGGGAAGUUUAGAGCAGCUCGCUCUCCUCUAAGUGUUGACCGGAGGAGCUCCCAUUUUCAGAGACGACUCACUUUUGGAUUUGGAAAUAAUGAUCUAGUCUUUGUUCAUGCAGGUUAGUGUCUGAUAAAAAAUAGCUAAAUAAAUAUAUAGAAAAUCUACUCGACAUCAUUCCCUGAUCUCCUGUCCAAAACUUUCCUCAGCACUGGGAUAUGGACUAACAUCACGCCAUCCGCCACGGGCCGACAGGCGGACACCGGCUCCUCCAGGCUCGGGUUGCUAGUUGGCACAAAAACAUGACAUUUUCUGAAAUGGGAUGAAACAGGACUUAUCCAUUUCAGUUCAUCUUUAUUUAAUCAGAGUAGUGACUGUUUUCCAGGGAGUAGCCUAAGAAAGGCUUGUUUUCGUUUGCUGCCGACCCUCCUGACUGAGGCCGACCUCGGAGGACAGACCGGCUGGUCUCCAGGAGGAUGCCCGGGCAGGAUGUGCUCCAGCCGGAAGAUCCUGUGGAGCCUGCUGCUGCUGUCAGUGUUGGAGGUGGGUCUGGGAGUGACCAGUAUCGUCCUGGGAGCCGUGGGGCUCAGCCGGGUCAGGGAGGAACACAAGCUGCAGCAAGGAGACGCUUCUCCUGUCUGGAGCGGCAUGUGUUUUCUAAUCUGUGGGAUGUGUGGAGUGCUCUGUGCCAGGAAGAGGACUGGACUCAUCAUGAUUCUGUUCUCAGCUUGCUGUAUCUGUGGUCUGAUUGGAGGGAUUCUCAACUUCCAGUUCGUUAGGGCGUUGUCACGACGACCGGACUCUCUUCGUUCCCUACACCUAGCAGCCAUGACUAUUGCCUGCCUGGGUAUCUCUUCCUGUACCCUCUCCACCUGGUUGACCUGUCGUCUGGCCAGUUCAGAACAGCAGAGGAUGUUUCUGGAGAGAGAACACUCACUGCACCACUCACACGAGAUGGCUGAGAAGGAUUCAUACACACACGGAUCUUUUGAGAUCCUUGACAACUCCAGCAAUGGGAUUCCCCAGAUCUCCUACAAUGCUAACACCACAUCUCCUUGACAAUGGAACCACCUUGUUGCCCUGACAACUGGCACAUCUUGUAACCCUGACAAUGGAACCACCUUGUUGCCCUGACAAUGGACACAACUUGCUGCCCUGAUGAUGUACACACCUUGUUGCCCUGACAACGGAGUGAUGUCGUAACAGAGCUGAGCAGCAUUAUUGCAGAGCUGUUUGUAGAGAACUUCAGCACAGAUGGAAGAAGUUUCCCAAAAUAAAACAACAAUGAACGCUAUUCUUGAACAAGUUGUUCCGAGGUCUGAUAGUCCUAACACACAGAGCCCCAUGACAUAUGCCCUCACAGACAGGAGGGACAGACAGCCAAUCAGACGCUUCAAACUAAUUAUCACAAAACACGCAUGCAAUUUAUUUUAAAUCUCUCUCUCCCAUUCCUCCCUCUCCCUCAUUCCUCUCUCUCAUUCCUAUCUCCCUCUCCCAUUCCUCUCUCUCUCUCCCAUUCCUCUCUCUCUCCCUCCCUCCCUCCCUCCCUCCCUCCCCCUGGUUCUGGCUAUAUGAAUGUAGGUGUAUGAAGGAACAGUGCUUUAGCGAUCUAAUACAGAGCAGAAUAUGGAAUUAUUUAAAGUAUCAGACAGACGACCAACGAUGCACACUGUAGAGCUGCUGUGGGUAACCCUCCUCCUGUAGAGCUGCUGUGGGUAACCCUCCUCCUGUAGAGCUGCUGUGGGUAACCCUCCUCCUGUAGAGCUGUUGUGGGUAACCCUCCUCCUGUAGAGCUGCUGUGGGUAACCCUCAUCCUGUAGAGUUGCUGUGGGUAACCCUCAUCCUGUAGAGCUGUUGUGGGUAACCCUCAUCCUGUAGAGCUGUUGUGGGUAACCCUCCUCCUGUUGAGCUGUUGUGGGUAACCCUCCUCCUGUAGAGGUGCUGUGGGUAACCCUCCUCCUGUAGAGCUGCUGUGGGUAACCGUCCUCCUGUAGAGCUGCUGUGGGUAACCCUCCUCCUGUAGAGCUGCUGUUGGUAACCCUCCUCCUGUAGAGCUGCUGUUGGUAACCCUCCUCCUGUAGAGCUGCUGUUGGUAACCCUCCUCCUGUAGAGCUGCUGUGGGUAACCCUCAUCCUGUAGAGCUGUCCUCCUGUAGAGCUGCUGUGGGUAACCGUCCUCCUGUAGAGCUGUUGUGGGUAACCCUCAUCCUGUAGAGCUGUCCUCCUGUAGAGCUGUUGUGGGUAACCCUCCUCCUGUAGAGCUGUUGUGGGUAACCCUCCUCCUGUAGAGCUGUUGUGGGUAACCCUCCUCCUGUAGAGCUGUUGUGGGUAACCCUCAUCCUGUAGCGCGCCUGUGGGUAACCCUCCUCCUGUUGGUAACCCUCCUCCUGUAGAGCUGUUGUGGGUAACCCUCCUCCUGUAGAGCUGCUGUGGGUAACCCUCCUCCUGUAGAGCUGUUGUGGGUAACCCUCCUCCUGUAGAGCUGCUGUGGGUAACCCUCAUCCUGUAGAGUUGCUGUGGGUAACCCUCCUCCUGUAGAGCUGUUGUGGGUAACCCUCCUCCUGUAGAGCUGCUGUGGGUAACUGUCCUCCUGUAGAGCUGUUGUGGGUAACCCUCCUCCUGUAGAGCUGCUUUUCUCCAGCAGUGUUCUACCCAGAUCCUGAAGCAGAAGUCUACACACCCAGUAACUCUCCAGGAGGUCAGUUAGCUUCCACCCCUGCUGUAUAUUCAUGCUUGUACUGUAUAUCAGGAAAACAAUCAUUAUGGAGUUACAAUAUUUUUCUAUAGGCUUCUUAUAAAACAAAAAUAAAACUAUGGAAAUGCUUAGUUAA
rnacentral:lncRNA from 1 species